rnacentral:tRNA from 1 species
UCAGUUGGUUAGAGCGCGCGCUUGAUAAGCGUGAGGUCGGAAGUUCAAGUCUUCCCAGGCCCACCACGCUUCGCCGUUGGCUUCGCGUGGCACCGCCACGCAAGACGAUGCGAAGCGUGUCCGGCAUAGCCGAAAGGCGACGCCGGACUUUUGAAGGGCGCUUCGUCUUCUGGUUACGGGGCCAUAGCUCAGCUGGGAGAGCGCGUGCUUUGCAAGCAUGAGGUCGUCGGUUCGAUCCCGUCUGGCUCCACCAGAUGGUUUGAUCACCUGCGACUGACCGUCGUCCGCGAAACAUCACUUCGCAUUCACUAGUCUGGAUAGACAGUGAACUGCGUGUUUUCUGACAUCGUAAAGAGGAGAUCGAUCCGAGUUGGGUCGUGCAGCAGAUUGUUGCGCGAAUCCUUCAUUAUCUCCGGAUCAUUUUCGGCGCUCGCUUUCGGCCGUGAGGUUGAAUGCGAGUUGUAAAAUGAUCCUUUUAGCGAAGCUUGACCGCCUCGCUAUCGGAACGAUCUUACGAAGCAAGCUGGUCUUUCUAGUCAAUGUCCGGCUGUGAGAAUAGCGUUCGUCGAGGGCGCGUGCCGCAAGGCGGUUCUUACAGACAACAUUCUGCCGAGUGUGUGGACAUUGAUAAUGAGAGCAAUCAAGUGCCUUAAGGGUGUU